UAAACAUAUACAUUUCCAUAAUAGACAAUUGGCAAGCAGAGAUGGUUAUAUGUGCUGCACUGUUAUUUUUGGGUUAAAGACGUCGUAUACAUAGAGUACAUCAUUUAUAGGGUAUUCCCAGCCCAUAUGGUGCCCUCUGUCCGCUAUUGUCAUGUACGGUGUGUGGCUAAUCAGAAGGGUUGGCCAGAAGGCGUCCCAUAUGUCGGCUAGUCUUGUAGGUAAGUAUAUGUUAGGCAGGUGAGUCGAGUCGAGGGUAAGAAAAGUGUGGUGAGUGAAGUAAGGCAAUUUAUGAGUGGAUACAUCUAGUGUUGUCCCCAGGGUGUGUAUGUGCUGUUGCGUCGUUGGGUCUCAAGUAUCCCUGUUUGGGGUUACCUCUCCGGGAUCGGUUGUAAGUCUCGGG